rnacentral:rRNA from 1 species
UACGUAGGCAGCGAGCGUUGUUCGGAGUUACUGGGCGUAAAGAGUAUGUAGGCGGUGCGGCAAGUCUGGUGUGAAAUCUCCCGGCUCAACUGGGAGGGAGCGCCGGAAACUGCCGUGCUAGAGUGCGGGAGAGGAGAGCGGAAUUCCUGGUGUAGCGGUGAAAUGCGUAGAUAUCAGGAGGAACACCGGCGGUGUAGACGGCUCUCUGGACCGCGACUGACGCUGAGAUACGAAAGCGUGGGGAG